rnacentral:rRNA from 1 species
CACACCGCCCGUCACAUCACGAAAGUGGGUUGUACUAGAAGUCCGUGGGCCGACCCGCAAGGGAGGCAGCGGCCGAAGGCGAGCGCAAUGACUAGGGCG